GUUCGCUGGCGCCCGGAUGUCUGAGCUCUGGCUCCGCUCUGGCUCCGGCUCCCUCCGCAGCCUGCGGGCGGGGCUCCCAGCCCAUCCGGAGCCUCGCGGCGCCCCUGCCGCUCUGCCAGCAGCGCGGCCUCCCGGUUCCCAGCCUCCCGGCCUGGGGGGCCCCCCCGCCCAGCCGAGUUGCUGACCCGACUGCUUUCCCGCUGCCCCCAGCUGCGCUCGGGCCGCUGCAGCCUCGGCGCGCCCCCACCCCGCUUCCUGCCUCGGCAGCUUUGCCCGGACCGGGCGGCCGCCCUGGAUCGCACCCCGUUCCUUCCUUCCUUCAUUCUUUCAGGCAACUCGCAUUCCUCGAGCGCCUGCGACGUGCCCCGUACAAGGCCUCUCCGACCUUCGGAGUGUGGCCCACCGGGGUCCUCCCAGAAGCCUCUGCCCUCCUCACCCCGCCCUGGACUCUCCUCUCUGAUGUCCUGUUUCACUCAGAGGGUAGCAUUUAAUUGUUCUCUGAUUAUUUCUCCUGUUAAGGGUCAGUCGGUGGCAAGGUCAAGGGAGGGCUUUGUGACCGAAAUCAGGGGUCAGUCUGAAAGUAGGGUGAGGGAUCAGAAUGUGGCCAGAGUUGGGGUUCAGCCAAACCGUGGCAGGAUUUGGAGAUAGUGUGGGUAGGAGUUGGCAGCGCUCUGUCUAUGGCCAGGCUUUAUAGACAGGGAGGGUGUGAGGGUUAGUGUGAAUAGCAUCAGUAGCCAAGAUUAGUGAGUCAGUCUUUCGGUAGGGUCAGUGGACAAUCUGGAUCAGGGUAAUAGGUCACCCAGAGACCAGGAUUUGGGGGUUGACUUUGACAAGCCAGUUAAGGGGAGGAGGGCGCUGUAGCUUUCUGAACUCACAUUAGUGGUUCCUCUGUGGGCAGGGGGUGGGGGUGGUGGUGACCAUAGCUUCCCCCUGCAUCGUCCAGGUGGAGCUGGCCUUCCGUCUAGGACACUCAUUGUCCUCAACAACACCCUGCUUUGAUCAUGUGCCAGAUGUAGGGGAGGGGUAGGUAAGGGGGGCAAAACUCUCAUUGGAUCAGACCAUGGUCAGAAUGGCAGUAACACUGGCCAUGGCAGGGAGGCCCUAGGUGUCCCAGGAACCCCAUCUUGGAGUCACCCAUGUUUAACAGGGCCCCUGGCAGGUCUUACAGUGGGACCAGAUGUAUGAAGGCAUUGACUUAAAAAAUAUGCACAACCUUAAAGCUCUUUUAAAUCUUUGUACAAACCAACGCCGCAUAGAAUGGUCUUCAAACAGCCAUCACAGCCCUGCUGUGCUUUCUGUGAGUUCGGGAAUCAGACAGAUGCUGGUUGAAAAUGCGGGCUUUGUCGUCUAGCAGCUUUCCCAUCACAGGUAAGUCAUUUAUGCUCCCAGAGCCUCCGUGGUUACUGUGAUGAUUCAAGUAGAUGACAUAUGUAAAGCACCUGGCACUUGGGAGGCCCUGGGUGACCCCCCACCCCAGGGCCUGCUGGGCAUGGUUGUCAGAUUCCUCACAGAAUUCUUCCAUCAUCUCUCCUGGUGGUGGUGUGGUUGGCCCAGUCCAGUCACAGCAUCUCAGCACUGCCUGUCCAGCCUCUGUGCUCUUCAGAGCCCUUCCACACACAUGCAGGAGUAUCUGAUCAGCAGGACAGCUCGGUGCAGGGACUGAAAAACUGGGGCUGCACCCCGGGGUCCCCACUCUUAGGCUCUGCCACUUCGAACAAGCUCUUUCACCUCUCUGAGCCUCAGAGAGCCACCACAGAGCCCUGCUGAGGGUUUAGUGAGGAACUAAAGGCAAGCAUCUAGGGGCCUGCUAGCACGUGGAGGCACUCAGUAAGUCAGAGGCAGAGUUAGGAAUAGUCCUAUUUCACAGAAGAAGAAACUGAGUCCCUCAGGGGGUAAGUGAUUCAUCCAGUGUCAUGUGGAAAGAUCCCUUCACAGACCUGGGAUUAAAAACCACAUCUUCAGAGUUCCCCUUUAUGGCUCAGCAGGUUAAGAACCCAACAAUUGUCUGUGAGGAUGUGGGUUCAAUCCGGGGCCUUGCUCGGUGAGUUAAGGGUCUGGCAUUGCCACAAGCUGUGGUGUAGGUGGCAGAUGAGGCUCAGAGCUGGCAUUGCUGUGCCUGUGGUGUAUGCCAGUAGCUGCAGCUCAGAUUUGACCCCUAGCCGGGGAACUUCAAUGUGCCGCAGGUACAGCCAUUAAAACAAAACAAAACAAAACAAAAAAAA
rnacentral:lncRNA from 1 species